rnacentral:lncRNA from 1 species
GGAAAAUAACAUAUGCCUCAACAGUGAAGACUGCUGACUAAGGCAAACGGAAUCAUAGACUCCAGGAGAGUAUCGAACGAACGACACGCCUGGCUCAGUCUAACAAGGGAGACACAGAACCCAGACGGUACCAAAUGAAAGGUACAGCUAGCAAGGUCUAAAAACAUAGAAUACAGACCCCAGACGGUAUCAAAUGAAAGAUAUAGCUAGUAAGGUCUAAAACAAAGAAUACAGACCCCAAACAGUAUCAAAUGAAAGAUACAGCUAGUAAGGUCUAAAACAAAGAAUAUAGACCCCAGACUGUAUCAAAGGAAAGAUACAGCUAGUAAGGUCUAAAACAGAGGAUACAGACCCCAGGCAGUAUCAGAUGAAAGAUACAGCUAGCAAGGUCUAAAAACAGUGUGACUCUGAGAGCGGGUUUCCAGCAUAUAGUGUAAAAUACAGUGUAAAAUAUCGUUACCUUAAGGCCAUG